UUGUACAUUAUGUUAUAUUAAAAGUGGGGAAAAUGUGAUUUAUCUUGGUCUGAUUUUUUUUACAUCUCAAAACAUGGCAUUUUAAUAACGAUGGGUAGACUUUUUAUAUCCACUGAACUUGCUGUGUAAAAUCACAACUAUAUCGAUACAUGGCCUUAACUUACAGAAGAUAAAAAUGAGGGCAUGUUUAGCAAAAACAUAUUUAAAAAGAACAAGCUACUUCCUGAAACUACAGAGAGUAGAAGUUAAAAUGUAGAAAAGUAACAUGAGCCUAUUGUUAGGGAGAAAAACCUUGAUAAAGUCAAUUUCCCAGUUAAAUAUUUGCUGCUUCAUUCAGCUGUAAAUAUCUCAAAUUUCAUAUAUUUUUUGAAAGAUAAGAUUCAUGUUUUUCUUUUGAGUCACUUUAUGAAUUUUCUGCAUUUAAUUGCCAAACUUUGGUAGCCAAAAUGUGGCGUGCCUAUUUUUUUAACUUAUCAACCCACCCCUUCCAUUUUUAGAAGUUAAAAUAUUUGCGGAUAAGCCUGGAUAGUGUGUGUUUAUGAUACAGGCAAAUGUAUUUAACUCCAGACACUCCCAUUUUUCUCACUAACAUGCUUUUACAAUACCCACAUGUGCUGCUCCCCCCCCCAAUGUUUUUUGUGCACGUUUUAUGCAGGUGAAAGACUUAGGUUUUUUGGGACUAUAUGUACAAUUCAACUGAUUUACCUUUUCAGAAACAUAGCAGAGAUCCCCAAAUAUGGAUGAUUGUUGUGUAACAAUGCAGUUUGUUAACAAAAGUUAUCAUUGUGUUUUUAAAAGUAUCCAGCUCCAGUAUUUUCAUGAACUAACAGAUUGAAAAAUAUGGUUGGGGGGUGGUGUUGCAGAUGGCCAAGUACGCAGCAAGAAGACCAGAGAUGGAAAUCAAUGGAUCAAACUCAAUUGCAAUCCCAUUAUGGGAACUCAGUUCUCGGAACAGUGAAAAAGCCCCCAAGAGAUAAGCUUUUUGAAUAAGCUGCCUGUAGAUCUGAUGCUGUGGUGCCAUUUUCAAUGUUUCAUCUUGAUACCGACAUUAUAAUAAACGCAGAGGCCUCUCCCAAUAUCUGGUCAACAUCUACAAUGAGCCAUUCUGCUAUUAAGGCAGCCUGGAUCCAGAGUGUUGAGAAAGACUGAUCAAAUAGUAAAGUCAUCCAGAAAUGAAACAGGUAUUUUAA